CACUUUAAGAAAUUAUUUAAAGCAUCUCCUGCUCAAUGAUAAUUUAAAUAGCCGCAGUUUUCUGUGCUAAGGUAGCAUAAUAAAUAGCCUAUUAAUUGUAGGAUAGAAUGAAAGGAAGAACAAUUUUUAUCUUUAUAUUAUCCCCUAAAUAACCUAAAUUAAAAGUAAAAAUUCUUUUAAUAAUAGAAAGACGACAAGACCCUAUAGAACUUAACUAAAGUUAAACUGGGACGGUUUAUUAACUAAAUCUUAUAGAAUGAUCAAAAUUACACCUUUAGUAUUAAUACAAUAAGUUACCUUAGGGAUAACAGCACAAUUUUUAUUAAAAGUUCUUAUUAAUAUAAAAGAUUAUGACCUCGAUGUUGAAUUGGAUAUACCUAAUACAAAGAAAAAUUUUAUUCAG
rnacentral:rRNA from 1 species